rnacentral:rRNA from 1 species
AUCUACAGCGAAGCCACCCUGAACACGCCCAAUCUCGUCUGAUCUCAGAAACUAAGCAAGGUCAGGCCUGGUUAGUACUUGGAUGGGAGACCACAUAGGAAUAUCAGGUGCUGUAGGCU